GAUGAAGAACGCAGCGAAAUGGGAUACGUAAUGUGAAUUGCAGAAUUCAGUGAAUCAUCGAGUCUUUGAACGCACAUUGCGCCCCCUGGUAUUCCGGGGGGCAUGCCUGUCCGAGCGUCAUUGCUGCCCUCAAGCACGGCUUGUGUGUUGGGCCUCCGUCCUCCUCCCGGGGGACGGGCCCGAAAGGCAGCGGCGGCACCGCGUCCGGUCCUCGAGCGUAUGGGGCUUCGUCACCCGCUCUUGUAGGCCCGGCCGGCGCUUGCCGACACAUCAAUCUUUUUUCCAGGUUGACCUCGGAUCAGGAAGGGAUACCCGCUGAACUUAAGCAUAUCAAUAAGCGGAGGA
rnacentral:misc_RNA from 1 species